rnacentral:rRNA from 1 species
AUUGAACGCUGGCGGCAGGCUUAACACAUGCAAGUCGAGCGGGCGAGGUUGCUUCGGUAACUGAGCUAGCGGCGGACGGGUGAGUAAAGCUUAGGAAUCUGCCUAUUAGUGGGGGACAACAUUUCGAAAGGGAUGCUAAUACCGCAUACGUCCUACGGGAGAAAGCAGGGGAUCACUUGUGACCUUGCGCUAAUAGAUGAGCCUAAGUCGGAUUAGCUAGUUGGUGGGGUAAAGGCCUACCAAGGCGACGAUCUGUAGCGGGUCUGAGAGGAUGAUC